ensembl:lncRNA
AGUUCUCUCUCUGGAGAUUGCUUGUUGUGGAGUUUUGUGUGCCUACAACACUGAUACCUGUCAAAACAAGGCAUUUUGGGGGGAAAGUGAUCCUUUUGGUCACCUGGAAGGAAGAUGGUGGAAAAAAAAUCAGAAGUGUUGAUUCGCGGGACAAGGUUGUAUUAAUAACAACCUUGAUAGACAGUCUGAAUUCAUUAGAUUUAUUCAGACUACAACUGUAUAGCUCCACUUGUUGCGUCCAUAUGUUGAUUUAUUCAGACCACAACUGUAUAGCUCCACUUGUUUUAAGUCUUAGAAUUUACAGGGCUUGAAAUAAGUCUUGGAAGCCAUUGAUCUUUCAAAGUACAAAGGCAGCGCUGAAAGAUGCGUGAGGGAAUGGAGUACUUUUCUGCCCUUCUCUUUGACAGUCUGCCUGAGUGUGUUCUGGGGAAAACUGCUGCUUGUCUUUGAGAGGUCAUUCACAUAUUCAAAUGACAGCGGGCAGAAACAGAAACCUCUUUCAGAGCAGGUGUCCAGAAACGCAAUAAAAGAUAUCUGCUUGCAUGUUAUUAUACCUGUCAUCACAGAAGUCUAUCGAGCCAGUCUCUGGUUGCUGGUAGGAGAGAGAAGUUACAGUGAACAAUAAAUAAGGGGCCCGCUGGGAGUGGCUGAGGCAUCAUCUUUCAUGCAGACUGGAAGCUCUCUUCAGCUGUGUGGAAAAAAAGAAGAAAUAACUAAAACUGUAGUAUGCCCUGAUGGGACACAUGCGAAGCAUUAGGCAAAAAUGAAAGGUUAAGCUACGUGCAGUUCGUACGUGAACAAGCAGCCCGGCUUCUCAGCUCAUCUGAGUGAAGGAAAAAAUGUAACUGCUGCUUUUGUGUGCCCUUAUCUGCAACAGCCUCUCCUGGAGGUGUAUUUGGAUAUGGAAAUGAGUGUGGCCUGAUAGGAAGAGAUAACCACGAAGGGCAAGGCCAGCUGCUGGUGUGAGCCCAGCCCCCGUGCUGCAGGUCAUCUUGGCAACGCUGGUGUUGGUCCAGAGGAGCUCUAUGUGGGAACAUAUGGAUGCAAUAUUUCCUCUCUGCCUUGCUUGCUCUGCAGCUAUCACUGCCCAGGAAAUUGCCGUGUCUCGCUGCUCCUGGUCCGUAUCUUCCCAGUACUGUGUCUGCUCCUGGUGUGAAGAGCCACAUGGUGGUAUGCUGAUGGGCAGCAAUGGCUCCCAGAGGGUCUUGGGUUCACUGAUGGAGGCAUCAGUUUUGAGCAAGUUGCAGCAAAUCUAUUGGGCUGUGUAUGGUCCUACCUGGAGCUUUGCUCUCCUGUUUUCGUGUGGCUUAAGGUUUUUAUAAAAUAACUU